rnacentral:rRNA from 1 species
AUUGAACGCUGGCGGCAGGCCUAACACAUGCAAGUCGAACGAGUGGCGGACGGGUGAGUAAUGUCUGGGAAACUGCCUGAUGGAGGGGGAUAACUACUGGAAACGGUAGCUAAUACCGCAUACCAUCGGAUGUGCCCAGAUGGGAUUAGCUCGUAGGUGGGGUAAAGGCUCACCUAGGCGACGAUCCCUAGCUGGUCUGAGAGGAUGACCAGGCAAACUGGAACUGGGAACACGUCCCAGCUCCUACGGGGAGCAGCAAUGGGGGAAUAUGCACAAUGGGCGCAAGCCUGGUGGAGCCAAGCCGCGUGUAAGAAAGAGGCCUUCGGGUUGUAAAGUUCUUUCAGCGGGGAAGCGGUACCCGCAGAAGAAGCACCGGCUAACUCCGUGCCAACAGCCGCGGUAAUUC